rnacentral:rRNA from 1 species
GACAGAGGGUGCGAACGUUGUUCGGAAUUACUGGGCGUAAAGCGCAUGUAGGCGGCAGCGCAAGUCGGGCGUGAAAUCCCACGGCUCAACCGUGGAAGUGCACUCGAAACUGCGCAGCUAGAGUCCUGGAGAGGAAGGUGGAAUGCUUGGUGUAGAGGUGAAAUUCGUAGAUAUCAAGCGGAACACCGGUGGCGAAGGCGGCCUUCUGGACCGACACUGACGCUGAGGCGCGAAAGCUAGGGGAGCAAACGGG